CCUACGGGUGGCAGCAGUAGGGAAUUUUGCGCAAUGGGGGCAACCCUUACGCCGCAACGCCGCGUGAUCGAUGACGCCCUUCGGGGUGUAAAGCUCUGUCAGUGGGGACGAAACCUGACGGUACCCACAGAGGAAGCACCUGCUAACUCCGUGCCAGCAGCCGCGGUCAUACGGGGGGUGCAAGCGUUGUCCGGAAUCAUUGGGCGUAAAGAGUUCGUAGGUGGCACGGUAAGUCUGGUGUUAAAGGCGGAAGCUCAACUUCCGUAGGGCACUGGAUACUGGCGAGCGUGAGUGCGGUAGAGGUAAAGGGAAUUCCUGGUGUAGCGGUGAAAUGCGUAGAUAUCAGGAGGAACAUCGGUGGCGAAGGCGGUUUACUGGGCCGUAAUUGACACUGAGGAACGAAAGCCUGGGUAGCAAAUGGGAUUAGAUACCCCGGUAGUC
rnacentral:rRNA from 1 species